rnacentral:snRNA from 1 species
AGCUUUGCUCGAUAGCAGUAUUGUAGCCAGUGAGGUUUAUCUGAGGCACAGUUAUUGCUAAUUGAAAACAUUCACCAUGUUCACCUUCCUGAGCCACAGAGGUAAUGAGUGACAAAGAGUUCA